CUUGUCAACUCAACACUUGAAAACACACUCGUGGACAAAUGGUUAUAGAUUGGAGGGAUGUGUUGAAGAAAAGAAAGAAUGUCUCC